rnacentral:rRNA from 1 species
UACGUAGGGGGCAAGCGUUGUCCGGAAUUAUUGGGCGUAAAGCGCGUGUAGGCGGCUCGGUAAGUCUGCUGUGAAAGUCCAGGGCUCAACCCUGGAAUGCCGGUGGAUACUGUCGAGCUCGAGUCCGGAAGAGGCGAGUGGAAUUCCUGGUGUAGCGGUGGAAUGCGCAGAUAUCAGGAGGAACACCAAUAGCGAAGGCAGCUCGCUGGGACGUUACUGACACUGAGGCGCGAAAGCUAGGGGAGCAAACAGG